GGCCAGACUCCUACGGGAGGCAGCAGUGGGGAAUAUUGCACAAUGGGGGAAACCCUGAUGCAGCAACGCCGCGUGAAGGAAGACGGUUUUCGGAUUGUAAACUUCUGUUCUUAGUGAAGAAGAAUGACGGUAGCUAAGGAGCAAGCCACGGCUAACUACGUGCCAGCAGCCGCGGUAAUACGUAGGUGGCAAGCGUUAUCCGGAUUUACUGGGUGUAAAGGGCGUGUAGGCGGGCAUGCAAGCCAGAAGUGAAAUCUGGGGGCUUAACCCCCAAACUGCUUUUGGAACUGCGUGUCUUGAGUGAUGGAGAGGCAGGCGGAAUUCCCAGUGUAGCGGUGAAAUGCGUAGAUAUUGGGAGGAACACCAGUGGCGAAGGCGGCCUGCUGGACAUUAACUGACGCUGAGGCGCGAAAGCGUGGGGAGCAAACAGGAUUAGAUACCCUUGUAGC
rnacentral:rRNA from 1 species